ensembl:ncRNA F14F11.4 ncRNA
UAUCUAUGUCAAAGAUCGAGUAUACUCUCUUCUCCUCCCGUUUCCCAUCCAUUAUGUGAAAAGGGGGCGGAGAAGCAGAUGGAGAGGCUGAAGGCGUGGCGAGAAGGUGACGCCCACCUGAGAAUUUAGUAAAUAUAUAA